UACGAAGGGGGCUAGCGUUGCUCGGAAUCACUGGGCGUAAAGCGCACGUAGGCGGAUUGCUAAGUCAGGGGUGAAAUCCUGGAGCUCAACUCCAGAACUGCCUUUGAUACUGAAGAUCUUGAGUUCGGGGAGAGGUGAGUGGAACUGCGAGUGUAGAGGAAAUUCGUAGAUUAUCGCAAGAACACCAGUGGCGAAGGCGGCUC
rnacentral:rRNA from 1 species